rnacentral:rRNA from 1 species
GAUGAACGCUGGCGGCGUGCUUAACACAUGCAAGUCGAACGGAAAGGCUCCUGCUUUCUGGGGUACUCGAGUGGCGAACGGGUGAGUAACACGUGGGUGAUCUGCCCUGCACUUCGGGAUAAGCCUUGGAAACUGGGUCUAAUACCGGAUAGGACGAUGGUUUGGAUGCCAUUGUGUAAAGUUUUUUCGUUGUGGGGUGAGCUCGCGGCCUAUCAGCUUGUUGGUGUGGUAUUGGCCUACCAAGGCGUCGACGGGUAGCCGGCCUGAGAGGGUGUCCGGCCACAUUGGGACUGAGAUACGGCCCAGACUCCUACGGGAGGCAGCAGUGGGGAAUAUUGCACAAUGGGCGGAAGACUGAUGCAGCAACGCCGCGUGGGGGAUGACGGCCUUCGGGUUGUAAACUACUUUCGCUAGGGACGAAGCGCAAGUGACGGUACCUGGUGAAGAAGCACCGGCUAACUACGUG